rnacentral:rRNA from 1 species
UACAGAGGGCGCGAGCGUUGUCCGGAAUCACUGGGCGUAAAGGGCGCGUAGGCGGCGCGGGCAGUCAACGGUGAAAGCUUGGGGCUCAACCCCGAGUCGGCCGUCGAUACUCCCGGGCUGGAGCACUGUAGAGGCAGGUGGAAUUCCGGGUGUAGCGGUGGAAUGCGUAGAGAUCCGGAAGAACACCGGUGGCGAAGGCGGCCUGCUGGGCAGUAGCUGACGCUGAGGCGCGACAGCGUGGGGAGCAAACAGG